GUUUUUAUAGUUGAAAUACAACGAUGGUUUUUCAUAUCAUUGGUCAUGGUUGAAGUCCAUGUGGAAACA
rnacentral:tRNA from 1 species